rnacentral:lncRNA from 1 species
GUGACCCUCAAGUAAUCAGAAAUACCACAGUAAAUGAAGAAAUCACAGUAAGCCCAUAAAAACUGCUGGAGGGUCUAGAACAUUAAUGAUCACAAACCUUCACUGAAGUCAAACCCAUCUGUUAUAAUUCCUUCAUCAUCUAGAUUUGGCUUAAUGUAUAAAUGUGCAGUAAUUAAAUCGCGGGAUUAUUUGCCGAUGGUCCUGCAGGUCCAAUCCUAGACGAUUUUUGCAGCUGUUUUUGACAAUGGAUGGAUGGAUGGAUUCAAUGAAUAGUCAUCACUGAAUAUAUUUACAUUUCUUUCUGCCAGAAACCCUUCUGUUCUCAUUCCUCCAGGACCACAAGCGAACAGUUCUGGAACAUUAAAGACCAUUGAAGAAAAGUAAAGACCCACCACCAUCAACUCACUGUACACUGGUAGGAAUGAGAAACAAAGCAUUAAAGGUGCAAUUAAUGUGAUCAACUACGGUGUGCAAAACUGCUCUCUGAUUGGUUAAUAUAGUCUGGCCACGCCCCCCACCAGGAGGAACGCCCUCUCACUUAAAGGCACAGCACAGCAGGGAUGGUGACAUAAGCAGAUCAGGUUCAGAAAAGAUGCUUCUUGGCUUUGGUGCUUUUCUUUGUUCUCUUAUUGCAGAUACAGAAUCGAAGCCUCCUACGGUGACUACGUACAUUCCUUCAAAACCUCACGAAAAUAAGGCCUCCUUGCUGUGCGUGGCCACAGACAUGUAUCCAAAUGUGGUCAAAUUCAUAUGGGAGAAAAAGGACGGAAACGACUGGAAAAAUGUGCCAUCAAAUGAAAUGAGGACCCUGCAGCAGGAGGAGGAAAGUAGGGUCUCCAGCAUCAUGAUCAUCGACAAUGAGAAGGCCGAGCGGGAUACCUACUCCUGUAAGGUGCAACACGAGAAGGAUCCUAAUCCCAGCAGAGGAAAAAGAGUGCCAAAAAAAAGUGAUCUCAUUACCCCCAAUGACCCCAAUGUCCCCAAACCUUCCUGUGUGCCCAAGCUGAGUACACCUCCGAGCAACACAUCAGAUGAGAUCCGUUCCUUCAAGAACCCGAAUGAGCUGACCAACCUGAACAUGGUGACAUUCUCCUACUCCGUGAUGAUCCUCAAGAGCAUGAUGUACUUCGGCGUGGUGUCCAUGAUCAUGUACAAGAGGUCGGGCAGGUCGCUCUGCUGAAGAAAGGAGCCCGGCUCUUCACUCAUCAUCUCCUCGCACCUUAUUGUCAACGCAGGAGAACAGCACAUGCAUGGAGAACAUGUAAUAGCGAACACAGUGUUUUAUAGUAGCUCAUAAUUCUAAACCUCUGAUUGUACUUAUAGAUUUUUACAUUUUUUAUUGUUGCUAAAAGUAAACUGAGUGUUUUCAUGUCUGUGAAGUGAUAUACUGUACGUUUCACGAAAGUAUAUAAUUAUUAUUAUAACUGUAUAAUUCUUAUAAUUAUAUCAGCAGUUCUUAUAAUUAAGACAGUCAUCGUUAUAAUGAACACUGAUUUUUGUUUCCUUCGACUCUCACCGUUUUUGUACAUGAAUUCAUAUUAAUAUGAUAUUACGGCUGUAAUAAGGAGAAAAUUUCCAGAAGAAAAUAUUGUUUGGAUUUCUAUAGCGCUGUGAUUUAAUUGUCCUUUGUUGUUUGUACAUUAUUAUACCUGUCGUGUACCUUUCAGACUCCAUCAGUGGAAAUGUCUGUUUUAAAAGAAAUUAAAAGCGGUGGUUGCAAAACAGUGUAUUGAUGUGCUUUGUUGUUCACUG